ACAAAGUUUAUAAAAUUAACAUAGUCAUGGAGACCAGGACGUCGUAGGUUCACAAACUCUACUUAUAGACCUUUCCGUAAUGCGAUUAAGAUAGUGUUUAAUAUCAGCAGGAAGAAAUCUCUGAUAUCCAUUUCUUUUGUGUGCCAAUAAAUUCACAAAUAAGUUCCACCAUAUCUCCCUACCAUCUUGUCACACAUUCGAGUUUAUAUAUGUAAAUAUUAGUGCGUGUCGCAUGGGUGAUACUUCUUCCACAAAACUUAAAACAAAAGUGUUAUACUCAUUGUAUAAAUAUGUGUCGCUUUUGUUCUAUUCUAUGUAGACAUAUCACUCAUCGCAAUGCAAUGCUAUUCCAUUGUCUAAUGAUUGAGCCCAUCUUCUACCAUAUGCUAGAACAGUAAUCUUCAAAAUACAAAAGGUUGUCAUCAACUGACCAAAGACGACGACGAUAUGUCAUUGGUAGUAUCAUCUAAUCGAAUACAAUAACAGUUGAAGUGUAAUUCCACUAAGAGUCCGUGAAAAUGCAUGGCAAGUAGAGGCUAAUCGAGCUUACCACCUCAAUGGCGACGAUGUCAUUGUAAGUCCAGAAAUAUGCGGUCGGAGAGCACGUAUAGGAUGUGGACGCGGCAAUGUUGAAAGUUCGAUCUUAAUAUAUGUCACCUGCAACUGUCCUAUUUAUAGGCCCUAUAUAUAAACAAUUUAUUAAUAUUUAAGGUUAAAUUAAUAUUAAUUAUCAUAAACAAAAAUUAAAUUAAUAUUAAUUAUCAUAAACAAAACCGUAUUUGGAAUGCCUUUAGACUAUUAUGAUCUCUACAUUGACCCACCGAUCAUUAUUAAGAUGAAUAGAGGCCUCAAUAAAAAAAAUGAAAGCUGGAAAAGCAACCUUAUCUACCAACCACACACCCGUCAUCCACUCUCACUCUGCCUCCCCUCCGAUGAGGCUUCCGUCCACCGUCGCCUGCCUCAUCCCCUCCACCUCCACCUCCACCUCCACCUCCCUCGCCCGAGACCCCUCAUUCACCAACCAGCCACGCUCCCUCCACCAACGCUCGAGCUCGGCACGGCGCCACUCAAGGUCGCACCGGACCGCUCCCCCUCCUCAACCCUCGGCCAUGUCCCCUACUCUGCAGCUUGAUAACGGACCCGUCCAUGCUGCCUCCUCCGUCGCUACUGCUCGAGCUUGCCACGAGGAGCUUUGUUUGCUUGUGCACAACCAGAUCCACCACUGUUCUUCGCCCCUUUCCUCCAAGCACUGCUCUAGGAGAUCCAAGAAGUGCAGGAAAAGGUAAGCUGUAAGCCUCUACUGCUCCCUGAUCCGAUCAGCAACCACUGCCUACGUCUUGGCUCUUCACGAAAUCUUAAUCCUCAUGGUCAAAUAGCAAUAUGUGCAUAUAUAUUAUAAAUUCCUUUGCAUCCUGAUAUCAUAGUGCAGUUAAUAUUUGUAACAAAAAUGUUCUAUUGUUCAUGCUCAUAGAUAUUCAGAUACCUGCAAUUUUUUUGUAUCUACUAAGUGGAACCUGUAUUUAGCUUCCAUCUUAAAACUUGGAAGCAUUUUGAUGAAUGCAGAGGCUCCAGUGUCAACAAACAGGCUUGCAAUUCAGUUAUAUUUUUUUUUCCAUUUAGUUGUAGGAGAUUGUUCAGAAAAAACUUGUUGUUGUGGGUGAGAUAGUAUGACAUCCUAUUUGAUGGUUUUUGUUUUCUCUCUCAUUGCACUGUUAAGCUUGUACAUCCUACAUUGUUGUUGUCCAAGCCAUAACUACCAUUGCGAUAAGGUAUAGUAAACCUUGUAGACUGAAGAUAUAUGAUUUUCUUCAUGCUUUAGCUCUUGGGUGUGUGCAGUCAAUAUUUUCAGAAUUGUAGCUAAGUAAUAGGGGAAAUUAGGGUGCUGGUGCUUAAGGUCCUAAAUGAAAUGUAUAGAGCUCAAGAUUAUCUUGCCAGGUAUAUAGUAUUGAGGUGGCCUCUUUUUUUUCUUUGCCUUGUUUCUGUAUAGAUAUUCACCAGCAUGAUAUUUGCAAACUUGAAUGGACCCAUGAGAGGCAUCUUGAUUUUGUCCAUACUCCUUUCUGUUUGUUCGUAUUUUUUAGUUGUAGCUAUCACAUGGUUCUAUAAUUUUUAAUUAUCUAUGGUGGCUACAUCUAAUACUAAUAUUCUCAUCUGAUUAAGAUUAGAAGUGAAAUAAUUUAUUGCAGUGCACCUUUAUGAAAAGAUGGUGUUUGUGGUACUGUUGCCAUGAUAAUUUAGCAAUAUCAAAUGUAUUAGAAUGUGAUAUACCUGGGUUGUUUGUGCAGGUUCAUGUCUGGGAACUCUUUGUCGGUGUGAAACAUCAUGUCUGCAGAACGCCACAAAAACCGUUGGCACGCAGCUUGCCAAGGGCGAGGCAACGGAAAGUAAAUGGAUGUAAACACCCAAUGCCCUAGAGAUGAAUUUCAGAGAUUGUUCACCUCACCGCUGUAGAUAAACAAAUCAGAGGGGACUUACGACGGCUGCAGGCAAGUAGGCGAUGAAGCCCAGUGCCCGACGAACAAUGGGGGCAUGCCAGGGAUGAAUGGCGACGACGAGCUACGGAUGGGCAAGGGCGACUGCGGCUGGCGAUGGACAGAGGAUCGAUAGGGUUGAUCGACGUUGUGUGCGAUGGCGAAGGUGGCGCGCGAGAUCCAGGGACGAGGAGGUGAGGUUGCGCGCGGUGUCAUGCGAGGGCCAGGGACUUGUAGGUGAGGGCACGGUCGCGUGACUGGCGGCGCGGGGUGAUCACGGAAUUGAUCACGAUUGUUAGGGGAUUGAUUUUGCCUUCCUGAUCUGUUGCGGCUGUUACAGGAUUGAUGAUUUUUGCCUUCCUGUUUCGGGUGGUGGCAUUUGAUAAAGUCUCCACGCCUGGGGCUCAGCCGGGGUGGUAUUUUGAGGGAAGCCAACGGAGUCGCGGAGAGUGGAUCGCACCCACGCAGGCAGACGGACGAUGUUCAAUUGCCGCACGAAAAAGUGUCCAUUCUUUAGUCUUUUUAGUUGUAGGAGAUUGUUCAGAAAAAACUUGUUGUUGUGGGUGAGAUAGUAUGACAUCCUAUUUGAUGGUUUUUGUUUUCUCUCUCAUUGCACUGUUAAGCUUGUACAUCCUACAUUGUUGUUGUCCAAGCCAUAACUACCAUUGCGAUAAGGUAUAGUAAACCUUGUAGACUGAAGAUAUAUGAUUUUCUUCAUGCUUUAGCUCUUGGGUGUGUGCAGUCAAUAUUUUCAGAAUUGUAGCUAAGUAAUAGGGGAAAUUAGGGUGCUGGUGCUUAAGGUCCUAAAUGAAAUGUAUAGAGCUCAAGAUUAUCUUGCCAGGUAUAUAGUAUUGAGGUGGCCUCUUUUUUUUCUUUGCCUUGUUUCUGUAUAGAUAUUCACCAGCAUGAUAUUUGCAAACUUGAAUGGACCCAUGAGAGGCAUCUUGAUUUUGUCCAUACUCCUUUCUGUUUGUUCGUAUUUUUUAGUUGUAGCUAUCACAUGGUUCUAUAAUUUUUAAUUAUCUAUGGUGGCUACAUCUAAUACUAAUAUUCUCAUCUGAUUAAGAUUAGAAGUGAAAUAAUUUAUUGCAGUGCACCUUUAUGAAAAGAUGGUGUUUGUGGUACUGUUGCCAUGAUAAUUUAGCAAUAUCAAAUGUAUUAGAAUGUGAUAUACCUGGGUUGUUUGUGCAGGUUCAUGUCUGGGAACUCUUUGUCGGUGUGAAACAUCAUGUCUGCAGAACGCCACAAAAACCGUUGGCACGCAGCUUGCCAAGGGCGAGGCAACGGAAAGUAAAUGGAUGUAAACACCCAAUGCCCUAGAGAUGAAUUUCAGAGAUUGUUCACCUCACCGCUGUAGAUAAACAAAUCAGAGGGGACUUACGACGGCUGCAGGCAAGUAGGCGAUGAAGCCCAGUGCCCGACGAACAAUGGGGGCAUGCCAGGGAUGAAUGGCGACGACGAGCUACGGAUGGGCAAGGGCGACUGCGGCUGGCGAUGGA
rnacentral:lncRNA from 1 species